UUGUGACUUUUUUCUGUAUGAGCUCUCAAGUGCGAGCACGCAAUUUCAUCAUUACCUUAGAGUAAUUUUUGUAUAAAAGGUUAUGGCAGGCAGUUAAAUCUAAAGUUGCCUUCUUUGCUAUAAAGAUGAAUUUCAAUAUGGCUAUGUUGAGAAAACUGAUUGUUGCCGUUUUUCUUUGCUUAGUAGCAUUUAUGUCCACUGCUGAGGCAAUUCCUCAAGGUGCUGGUGCAGGAGGAGAAGCAGGUGCACAAGCAGGCUUUGGAUUUGGUUUUGGUGGAGGAGCUGGAGCUGGUGGAAAUGGAGGUGGAUUUGGAGGUCGAAAAUAAAUAACAUAAUGCACAUUAAGCUGCAUCAUAAUUUUAUUUCUAUUAAUGCGAAAGAUUCUCUGUAGCAAUUUUACGACAUUGAGUUCCGUAAAAGUUUUCUUCCUAAGAAGAAAUAAAAGUCUUCUCCCUAAGUGCAUUUAUCUGUUUUACUCUUUCACGAAAGUUUUUAUAUUAAUAAAAUCGUAACUAUAUGAAA